rnacentral:rRNA from 1 species
UACGGAGGGAGCUAGCGUUGUUCGGAAAUACUGGGCGUAAAGCGCACGUAGGCGGCGCAGCAAGUCAGGGGUGAAAUCCCGGGGCUCAACCCCGGAACUGCCCUUGAAACUGCAGUGCUAGAAUUCUGGAGAGGCGAGUGGAAUUCCGAGUGUAGAGGUGAAAUUCGUAGAUAUCCGGAAGAACACCAGUGGCGAAGGCGACUCGCUGGACAGACAUUGACGCUGAGGUGCGAAAGCGUGGGGAGCAAACAGG